AUGCUACUCCUUCCGUUCCGAAUUAGUUGUCACAUAAAUGGAUGUAUCUAGAUGUAUUUUAGUUCUAGAUACAUCCAUUUCUAUGACGAGUAAUUUGAAAUGGAGGAAGUAUUUU
rnacentral:pre_miRNA from 1 species